rnacentral:rRNA from 1 species
GAUCGGAGUCUGNAACCCGACUCCGUGAAGCUGGAUUCGCUAGUAAUCGCGCAUCAGCCAUGGCGCGGUGAAUACGUUCCCGGGCCUUGUACACACCGCCCGUCAAGCCAUGGAAGCCGGGGGCGCUUGAAGUGCGUUGCCGCAAGGCGCGCCCUAGAGCGAAACCGGUGACUGGGGCUAAGUCGUAACAAGGUAAC